ACGGGAGCAGACCAACAGGGAUUGCCCUAGUAACGGCGAGUGAAGCGGCAACAGCUCAAAUUUGAAAUCUGGCCCUCGGGUCCGAGUUGUAAUUUGUAGAGGAUGCUUUUGGCGCGGUGCCUUCCGAGUUCUCUGGAACGAGACGCCUUAGAGGGUGAGAGCCCCGUACGGUUGGACACCAAGCCUCUGUAAAGCUCCUUCGACGAGUCGAGUAGUUUGGGAAUGCUGCUCUAAAUGGGAGGUAAAUUUCUUCUAAAGCUAAAUAUUGGCCAGAGACCGAUAGCGCACAAGUAGAGUGAUCGAAAGAUGAAAAGCACUUUGAAAAGAGGGUUAAAUAGCACGUGAAAUUGUUGAAAGGGAAGCGUUUGCGACCAGACCUUUUCCUGGCGGAUCAUCCGGUGUUCUCACCGGUGCACUUCGCCUGGUUUAGGCCAGCAUCGGUUUCUGUAGGGGGAUAAAAGCUCUGGGAACGUAGCUCCCUCGGGAGUGUUAUAGCCCUCUGCAUAAUACCCUUACGGGGACCGAGGACCGCGCUUUAUGCAAGGAUGCUGGCGUAAUGGUCGUCAACGACCCGUCUUGAAACACGGACCAAGGAGUCGAACAUUUGUGCGAGUGUUUGGGUGUUAAACCCUCACGCGUAAUGAAGGUGAACGUAGGUGAGAGCCCUUACGGGUGCAUCAUCGACCGAUCCUGAUGUCUUCGGAUGGAUUUGAGUAAGAGCAUAACUGUUCGGACCCGAAAGAUGGUGAACUAUGCGUGGAUAGGGUGAAGCCAGAGGAAACUCUGGUGGAGGCUCGCAGCGGUUCUGACGUGCAAAUCGAUCGUCAAAUCUGCGCAUGGGGGCGAAAGACUUAUCGAACCAUCUAGUAGCUGGUUACGUGUUUUUUCUCUCUCGCGGG
rnacentral:rRNA from 1 species